UCUGGCGUAGCUCAGUGGUAGAGCAAUUGGCUGUUAACCAAUGGGUCGCUGGUUCGAGCCCAGCCGCCAGAGCCA
rnacentral:tRNA from 1 species